AGCGCAGCUUACACACGCAGCAUAUGCGUUUGAUUUGUAAAUUACGUGCUGCCGGGUGACACAGAACGGUUACGGCCUCAAAAAACGGUGCUUUGCUUGCUGCGAAAGCCAGGGCGGCCGCAAAAUGUCUCCUUUUCAAGGCCCUCCUUUCACGCAGCGUAUUCCGUGUCCUGCAGACAAGGCCGCUGGGCGCGGGCAGGCGACGGUUUUGAGGGACGCCGUUCCCCUCCAGCAUCGCUGCGCGCCGCUCGAAGCUGGAACUGCUCAGCCAAAACGCCUAAAUGCUUUCUAAUUAAGUUUAUCAUUAAAAUAUUAAAAUGAAUUUGAUUUUUUUUUGCCUUCCAUACCUCAUCCUGUCCCCAGGCUGCUUCAGUCAGUUUGCUAUUGUUAGUCAUGGCAUAACCUUCUAGAAAUUACUGUGUGUUGCCUUUCAGCGACUUCAUUAAAAUGCGUUCCUGCCAGAGAGCUCUUUACCCAUACAUAUUAAUAAGGCUUCGAAGCGAUAAUUAAGCGAUGACUAAUAUGUUUGUGAAUCAGAUAGGACUGCCUUUGAUGCUGUGCUCCCUUGUACCAAGAACCACAAUGCAGGUGGAGCUGUGGGAAGUGGUGCUGCUGCCCUGGGUGGCUUCAGCUGCCGUGGGAUGUUCCAGCAUCUCUCCUGCUGUCGCAGACCCUGCAGCAGCGGCAUGAAGUUUGAGAAACUUGCAAAGAGCUGAAGAUGAGAGACAGAAGACACUUUGCAGCUUUAUAUAGAUCUUUUGCAUUUCCUGUGGGAUUUUAUGUGAAUUUUUGUGCUCUCUGUGGUGCAGGUGAUAAUGGGGAAGGAAAGAGUGGUGACAGAAAUAUUCAUGUAAAGCAGAAUACAUUUGAGGAGGUCUGAACUUCAAAGAGGUGUUACUGAUGGUAGCGAAAAUUCUGAGUGCUCAGUUUGCUGAAGAAGGAAUUGCUGGUGCAAAUGCCUGAAUAUGUAUUUAAAGUGACAUUUGGGCUUCCCAUUUUUUCUGGGGUUUGUUUGGAUUCAUAAAAUUCUUUUGUAUUCUCUUCUGUGAUUGUAUCAGAGGGGCUACUGUUCAAUUAUAAUUUUCAUGCUUCUUAAUUCAUUUUUCAUAAUUAAGUGUUAGACUUCCAUAAGAUACAUUAUCUCUAAAAUGCUAGCAUUGCAUAGCAAUUGCGUUUUAUGUGAUGUUAGUUUACAGAAUUUUUUUAAAACACCUUUUGCAGGUAAUGUGUCAGCUUACAUUAUUUUACAGGCUUUCCAGUAGUUAGAAUCUGUGCUCACAAUCAGAAUAUGCUCUAUGUAAUAUAAGUUGCUUUUACUCAGGCUUAAAGGGGGAUUAAACAUUCUCAUGAAAGCUGAACACUGCUUGCUCGGAGUAAAGGAAGAAGAAACACUCUGCAUUUCAGCCUCCACGUGUAUCUAAGUAAAUGUUUAUCACAAAGAGAAGGCAUCAGUCACCAGGUGUUUUUGUACUGGGAGGCAGCCUGGGAUAAAUAACAAAUCCUGUAAUUAGGCGCCAAUAGAUUCUAAUUGAUUUAUGUUAGUCCUCAAGCUGCAAUCUAGCCUUUCUCUCUUGUCAUGGCACGGCGCAUCCUUUGUUUGAUGAACACUGAAGGGAAAUCCAGUGAGGUAAGAAAAAAUAGCUCAUCUGAAUGGAUGCAGCCUUGUGCAAGUGUUUGAAGUUGUUAUUCUAAGUGCUUAUUUUAGCAACUUUUGAGCUGAACGUUUAGAAUAUAUAGAGUAGCAUUUAGGAAAAAUGUUAAUGUGGUUGCUUACUUUAACAUGAGCUGCAGCUCUGCCAGCAAAGAUGAGACAUGCCAUUUAAGGAACACUGAAGCUUUGAGUGAAGUUUUUAGUCAACUUUAUUUAGAAACUUGCUGGAGUGCACCGGAUGCUGGGGGAAACCAGAACACACUUUUUGGAUUGUCAGACCAAAGGCAGGAAGGUUCCCACAGAGCCCUCCUCCUUAUGUAGCUUCUGUUUCUUAUUUAGAUUUUGUUUUUUAAUACCCAAGAGCUUUUAGUGGUGUUCUGACAAUUGUGGCCUGGAAAUUUGUCUAAAUUAAAGCAGGUUUUGUUUGUUUACUUAGAAGUGCUAACAGACUCAGACAGUCCCACAGCAUUUUUCAGGGCUUACAUCAUUCUAAAAUAGAUUCAAUUGAUUCAAAACAAAUUUGGCGAAAAAGUAAUUUUCUUUGUCCACUUGAUGUAUUUGCAUCUAUACAAAAGGAACAGGUGAGCCUUGGCAGGUAUGCUGAGCGCAGUAUCUGGAAUUGAUAGGAAAUGUUAAGAAGCUUAUUUUAGUUGAUGGAAGAUACAAGAGAACACAAGGAGUUAAAUGAACUAGUCUGAAGAUGUGAGACUAAAUGGGGGAGAAGUGGGGAUCCCCUGCUAAUGUAAGUAGAUGUAAAUUCCGCUGAGGGUAUAUCAGGUGAAGGGCUACCUCCACACCAUUUAGCUUCUUAUUUUGGAUGAUUUGAGAUUUUAUGAAUCCCCACAUCAAGAGAAAUGUGAAGAGCCAGCUAUGCCUUCACCAACUGUGUGAAAAGUUGAGCAUGAUCAGUUGAGUCAUGGACGUUUUCUUCACAUUUGUUCAUUACAGCUAUACGAGACAGUAGCUGUAUUAUCACAACACCUGUAACAAAUACGUAUUGGCAUCAGACCCUUAUCCACAUUUAUUUCUCGCAUAACUAAACACAAGAUCACAGUGGUUUUUAACUCCAGUUUAGCCUUCCCGGACGCUCAGUCAGCCCCCAGGAAAAGCACGUGAGAACUGCUGUGAGAGAGGGAAGCUGCUUCGCCGUCCAGGACCGCUUGCUGUGCUGCUCCUGCCACUUCACUGCCGCUUUUUGGGGGGACAGAUGCAUGAGCCGGGGUGCCCCAACAGCCGUACAGAAAGGAGAGAUGGGACCAGAGUCUGUCCUGAUUUGCACUGGUACGAGCUGAAAACAACAGAGUUGGAUUCUGAGAAUCCAGGACCUUGGUGGGUACACUAAAUCUACUUGAAGAACCUGAUGGUCCUUGCGGGUGCUCGGGCUGGGGCAGCGGAUGGAGCCACCAGCCUUGCUGGGAGGGAAGAGGAGCCCAGGCAGAACGGUCGAUGCCAACGUUUGUGUUCAUCCAGCAGCGGGCAGGAGAGUGGCUCUGGAGGCAGGACGAGCCCCCCAGAGGCGUCCUGGGCCUCGGGAUGGCAUGCCUUUUUGCGUGGUUUCACUCUACGGUACCACAAAAAGCUUUACCAGCAUGGAGCAGGGCUGGCGAGAGGGGAGGCUGCCUCAGCUGAUGCUGCUGCCAUCAGAAAUGUCUUUGGAACCGGGGACAAGUAAUCAGGAGGUUACAAACCUGGGGCAAGGCAGUCUGCCAGCCUGGAUGGACGCUUGAAGCCAUUCUGAUGUUUCCCUGCUCCUGCACGUGGUGUCUACUUGGAUGUACAGUUCCUUGGAGGCCCUUAACCCAACUGCACCGUGGCUGAGCUGGUAUCGGUGGUGUCCGACACUGGAGGGGAUGAAAUCACAGACGUGUAGGUAAAGAAAUGCCAGACUGGAAUGGUCUUUGUAAAGGAAAGCCGUGAUAUUACGGUAGAUGCCAGAAGUAGCAAGUUUUGGAUAGGGUUUGAUGUGGAGGUUCAGCACGAGGCAAGAAGCUCUACGAGAGGUGGAGUGACCGUGGUAGAAGCCAUCGCAGAGGUGUGAUGCGAGGUGGGAGAUUCAGUCCAAAGGACGGUGGCUGAGGAAAGGCCCGGCUAUAGAGAGAGUCCUGAGACAAAAGAGUGGAGCUCCGAGCUUGCAUUUCCAUGAGGAUUGAGAAGAGGCAAGAACUGUCAAAGUGGUCCACGGGAGAGUUGUGAGAGGCUGAGCACAACUUUAGUUGACGAUGUGUGGUCCGCUGCGAGCUGAUCACACAAACUCACGCUUGUCAAAAAUACCAGGGAUGCCAUUUGAAUAGGUACAGCAAAUUUAGACUGGGCCAGCACGGUAUAUUGCCAGCCCUCAACUGUGGACUAGCGAAACCUUCCGAGUGACCUGAGUUAUGUGGCUUUUGAGCUGUGGCUUUUUUAAAAUGGAUUUUGUAGGGGUGGUGGGUGUUAGGAGCGUUUUUGAUGAGAGAACUCUUUUGGGCCUCCAGAUGAUUACUUAAUCAAUCAAAUAGAAGGAUUCAAGUAGAGCUGUACUUCCUGCCAGUUGAUCAUUAUGUUAUGGAAGAGGUUUGGAUAGAAGAACUUGGAAAUUUAGUGAUAGACUAAUGAGGAAUCUGCCCUAGGCUUCUUCAGAUAUCCCGCUGCAAAAACUCUGCCUCUUGAUGAUUGGAUUAACGGUUGAAAGAGACAGCUUGGCAGACUCAAAUAAAAGGCUUUCCACAGAUUUGCUUUGGAGGGCUUGAGCCUCUUAACCACAUGGUAAUUGUAAAGACUAUAAAUAAAACUCAAAAAUCUAGUUUAAGCAGUCUUUAAUAAAUCAUUUUAAUGCACUGUUAUUGGCCCCUCCUUCAGGAUAUCACAAGUCUGCACUUUCAGUCUGACAAGCUAAAAUGUGCUCUGUCAAAUUAUCAGCUCGGGUUUUUCUCACAUACUUAAGGGAAGCCUUGAUGCCCCCACUGAAGCUCCAUCCUGAUGCGAGGGAGGGUUUGUCAUCUGAUUGAAAGCAUAUCAGGGAAGAGCCAUCGGGAGAGUUAUUUGGGACUGGUAUCUCGAAGUUUUUCAAAUGCGGGUCCUCACCCGAUGAAUUAUGGCUUUUCUUGCCCAGUUCCUUACUGAGACAGGCAGGACUUGGUGGGGCACAGGACAGAGGGACAGCUGAGUGGAGAUGGUGGCUCUGAAGGACCUAAGCUGGACACUGGCACUCACCCAGUGCUGCUGAGGAGGUACCGAGUGGCUGGGAGCGGGCCUUUGGGGUGGACUGUAUAGCUCUGCUGUUCUCACCUAUUUGUGGUCCUUGUGUGCUUUAAGAUUAAAAUCCGGGUGGCUAGGUAAGUCCCUUGGUACGUUUUUGUUCCUUUCUUUCUUGCCAUGUUGUCAUCAAAGAAAUUGUGUGAGGAGUCCACGACUCCUGGCAGAGAUGGAGCUUGGGGUUGCCUGUGUAAAGCCUGAAGAACAGCAUGGGAUCUCAGAUCUAGCAGGCUGGGUGGCACUUAAGUAAAAGGUGUCACGCAGGGGGAAAAAAAAAAAAAAUUUAAGCCUAGCUCUGCAUUCCCAGAAACAGUGGCAAAAUUCGGCCUUCCUGGUUCCUGAUAAGUGGAUGAAUGUUUAGCCUUGAACUACAAUGAGGCUUGGAAAUCACUCAAAAUAUUUACAUUAUGGAGUAGGGCUUGCUUAAGAUGAAAUAUUGCAUACCUGUCGAUUUUCUUCCUAAUCCUAACCACAAUGGGCAGUGAAAAGUUGCAGAUCUCUGUCUACUCACCAAUCUCAACCCCCACGUGCUUUUUUUUUUGAUGUGUGCCGCAGUAAGUUUUACAUCUGAGUAUCUUUACGAACCAUAGAAAAGGCUUUUCUUACGAAGAUAAAAUGUUCCCCACCAUCUGUGCACUAGAAAUAACAUAGAACGCCCUUUUCCUGUUCUGUGAGAAAUUUUUCCAUGUAUCGGUAUUUGUAAGAGAACAAAACCAGAAAGUUACCUAUGAAAGCAGUUAGGAGUACUGGGAGGUAAGCGGUGCUUUUGAAGGCUUUUAAUCCUCUUUUCCCCCAUAGCAGCUACACAUUAUUUAUUACUAGGGGUAACUUUGUAAUGUGUUGGGUGUAUUCCAAAGAAAACAAGAAACUGCACUCAUGGUGUCAAGCAACGCCGAUACCCACACUGAAAAAUGUAGCCUCCAGACUGGAGACCAAAGCUUUAUCCCCAAAUACUUGUUGUUAUGUUGCAUGCUAUAUUGUAAAUAAAGUAGGCAAGUACAAACAAGAGUUCAGAAGAUUAUAUCUGGUGGUAGAUGACCGUGAUUUAAUCAGCUUUUUGUCCACUACUCUACUUCGUAUUUUACGUAUGGGGUCAGAGUCUGCUGUUGUGCUGGUAGAAACAACAAUGCUACUAAGGUUAACAAAAAAUAAUAGCAAGUUAAUUUUUGCUCUGUAAAGCAAAAAUGAAGUAGCUCAAUACUGGACUACUAUGCAGCAACAACAGUCCAAAUAAUUGUGUCAGAGGGGUUGAUUUUGGGGUGGUUUGGGUUUGUUUUUUGUUUAGUUUUGGGUUUUUUUUAGCUUUCUAAAACUACAAAUUAUUACCGUGAUCGUGUCAUUUGACUUGCUAAUCCAGAUCAUAGAUGUUCUUCUGCCAAGCCUUUAUGUUGUAUUCAUAGCAUUAUGUCCUUCCCUUACAGCUGUGUUUGGAAAAUACCUCUGAAUUCCAGCAUUUUUUUCAAAUAUUUUCUAUUAACUGUCCAACUGAGAUGAGACAACAGAGGAGAAAAACCACUGAAACUUUCAGAGAGGUUGAUCUCUUUGCAAACUGAGCAUCCAAAGAAAGUUUUCUCAAAACUUUUGCAGUAACUUGUAGCGGAGACGUGCAGCAUCAAAAAUUAGGAGCUUGUGGAAAUCCUGCCGAGCCCUUACCUACAUCUUAAGGCAGCUCUUUGAAAAUCUGGGCUCUAGGCCCAGCGCUGCCAAGAGUUCGCUGUGGCAAGACUCCUCCUCCUGCCUGGGGCUGACUGCAGGAUAGCUAUUUUAAUAGCUGAGGCUUUCAAAACAGCCUAAAGCAGUCAGGAAAAAAUAAUGUAAUAAGCGGCAAGUAGAUGAGUUCCCAGAUGAUUGAUUCUGGAGACCUUACAGAGAUAGAAAUUCUGAUUUGUGAACGGCUGGAAAGGAAAAGCGAUGGCUGGAGAUGUACUUUCUAAUAGGCUUUGGGCUGGUUUCUCCCUUGUGCAAUUUUGUGUGUGGUCACUUUUUGGCAAAAGGGAGGUCCCAGCUCACCGUGGUAUGUGCUCUAUACGCCCUUUGGACGCGUGUCAAAAGUCACAUGUGAUUAAUAUCUCUCAACUUUGCAGUAUUAAAGAUGUAGGAAUGUAGUAAAAA